CCGUGCUAAGCGGGGAGGUAGCGGUGCCCUGUACCCGCAAUCCGCUCUAGCGGGGCCGAAUCCCUUCUCGAGGUUCGUUUACUUUAAGGUCUGCCUUAAGUAAGUGGUGUUGACGUUUGGGUCCUGCGCAAUGGGAAUUCAUGAACCAUGUCAGGUCCGGAAGGAAGCAGCAUUAAGUGAAACCUCUCAUGUGCCGCAGGGUUGCCUGGGCC
rnacentral:SRP_RNA from 1 species